rnacentral:rRNA from 1 species
GACGAACGCUGGCGGCGUGCUUAACACAUGCAAGUCGAACGGAAAGGCCCUGCUCUUGUGGGGUGCUCGAGUGGCGAACGGGUGAGUAACACGUGAGUAACCUGCCCCUGACUUUGGGAUAACUUCUGGAAACUGGGGCUAAUAUCGGAUAGGAGCUACUGCUGCAUGUUGGGGGUUGGAAAGUUUCGGCGGUUGGGGAUGGACUCGCGGCUUAUCAGCUUGUUGGUGGGGUAGUGGCUUACCAAGGCUUUGACGGGUAGCCGGCCUGAGAGGGUGACCGGCCACAUUGGGACUGAGAGACGGCCCAGCAUCCUACGGGAGGCAGCAGUGGGGAAUAUUGCGCAAUGGGCGGAAGCCAGAUGCAGCAACGCCGCGUGCGGGAUGACGGGCUUCGGGUUGUAAACAGAUUUCGCCUGUGACAAACAGGGAGUGACGGUAAUGGGUAAGAAAGCAACGGCUAACUACGUG